rnacentral:rRNA from 1 species
CCUACGGGAGGCAGCAGUGGGGAAUAUUGCACAAUGGGGGAAACCCUGCUGCAGCGACGCCGCGUGAGUGAAGAAGUAAUUCGUUAUGUAAAGCUCUAUCAGCAGGGAAGAAAAUGACGGUACCUGAGUAAGAAGCCCCGGCUAACUCCGUGCCAGCAGCCGCGGUACUACGUAGGGGGCAAGCGUUAUCCGGAUUUACUGGGUGUAAAGGGAGCGUAGACGGCAGUGCAAGUCUGGAGGGAAAGGCGGGGGCUCAACCCCCGGACUGCUCUGGAAACUGUACGGCUGGAGUGCAGGAGAGGUAAGUGGAAUUCCUAGUGUAGCGGUGAAAUGCGUAGAUAUUAGGAGGAACACCAGUGGCGAAGGCGGCUUACUGGACUGUAACUGACGUUGAGGCUCGAAAGCGUGGGGAGCAAACAGGAUUAGAUACCCCAGUAGUC